AUAGAACGCUGGCGGCAUGCCUUACACAUGCAAGUCGAACGGUAACAGGUCUUCGGAUGCUGACGAGUGGCGAACGGGUGAGUAAUACAUCGGAACGUGCCUAGUAGUGGGGGAUAACUACUCGAAAGAGUGGCUAAUACCGCAUGAGAUACACGGAUGACAGCAGGGGAUACCAAGACCUUGUGCUAAUAGAGCGGCCGAUGGACGCUUAGGUAGGUGGUGGGAUAAAAGCUUACAAAGCCGACGAUCUGUAGCUGUGUAUGAGAGGACGAUAAGCCUCACUGGGGCUGAGACACGGCCCAAACUCCUACGGGAGGCAGCAGUGGGGAAUUUUGGACAAUGGGCGCAAGCCUGAUCCAGCAAUGCCGCGUGAAGGAUGAAGGCCUUCGGGUUGUAAACUGCUUUUGUACGGAACGAAAAGCCCUGGGUUAAUACCCUGGGGUCAUGACGGUACCGUAAGAAUAAGCACCGGCUAACUACGUGCCAGCCGCCGCCGUAACAC
rnacentral:rRNA from 1 species